rnacentral:rRNA from 1 species
GAUGAACGCUGGCGGCGUGCCUAAUACAUGCAAGUCGAGCGAACAGACGAGGAGCUUGCUCCUCUGACGUUAGCGGCGGACGGGUGAGUAACACGUGGAUAACCUACCUAUAAGACUGGGAUAACUUCGGGAAACCGGAGCUACUACCGGAUAAUAUAUUGAACCGCAUGGUUCAAUAGUGAAAGACGGUUUUGCUGUCACUUAUAGAUGGAUCCGCGCCGCAUUAGCUAGUUGGUAAGGUAACGGCCUACCAAGGCAACGAUGCGUAGCUGACCUGAGAGGAUGAUCGGCCACACUGGAACUGAGACACGGUCCAGACUCCUACGGGAGGCAGCAGUAGGGAAUCUUGCGCAAUGGGCGAAAGCCUGACGGAGCAACGCCGCGUGAGUGAUGAAGGUCUUCGGAUCGUAAAACUCUGUUAUUAGGGAAGAACAAAUGUGUAAGUAACUAUGCACGUCUUGACGGUACCUAAUCAGAAAGCCACGGCUAACUACGUG